CCUACGGGAGGCAGCAGUGGGGAAUAUUGGACAAUGGGCGAAAGCCUGAUCCAGCCAUGCCGCGUGUGUGAAGAAGGCCUUCGGGUUGUAAAGCACUUUCAGUGGGGAAGAAAGCCUUGGGGCUAAUACCCUCGAGGAAGGACAUCACCCACAGAAGAAGCACCGGCUAACUCCGUGCCAGCAGCCGCGGUAAUACGGAGGGUGCGAGCGUUAAUCGGAAUUACUGGGCGUAAAGCGCGCGUAGGCGGUCUGAUAAGUCGGUUGUGAAAGCCCCGGGCUCAACCUGGGAACGGCAUCCGGAACUGUCAGGCUAGAGUGCAGGAGAGGAAGGUAGAAUUCCCGGUGUAGCGGUGAAAUGCGUAGAGAUCGGGAGGAAUACCAGUGGCGAAGGCGGCCUUCUGGACUGACACUGACGCUGAGGUGCGAAAGCGUGGGUAGCAAACAGGAUUAGAUACCCUAGUAGUC
rnacentral:rRNA from 1 species